AUUUGAGCACAUUUGUUGAUGCUUAGCUUGAAGCUUCAUACUUUUAGGGCCAUAGGUUCAAGCUGCUCAAAGACUCCGUAACCCCGGGGUCACUUUACUGCUCCAUUCUCGUUAGCAGUCAACAUUCACCAUGGGUAAGUGCCUGAUUCCAAUCAUGCUAUUACUUCCCUAAGUUUUUCCAUGAGCGAACAAAUAUAUGUACUUCCCUGAGUUUUUCCUCUUGGUCAUUGUUUCAGUAUAUGUGAAUAGACCUUUUUGAUAUUGGCUCCUAAACGAACAGUUACUCCUCUGCUCGUUUACAUACUUAUGAGCAUAGUCUAUUAAUUUCUAAUGUAAAUGAACAUACCUCUUACCUAUAUGCGAACAAAUCCUUACUGACCUUUGUCAUAUUAGCCUUUAUACGAACUGGGAAAAAAAACAUCUGAAUCGUCAAGAGAAGGCCCAAUAUUUCUAUUGUAUGCAUAGGUAGGCAAUAUGAUUUCUUGAAUAUGCACUCUAUAUACCUUUUCUCAAAGCCCCAAAUGGUAGACACAGGUGAACAUAAAUGCAUAUAAGCGAACAAAGCCAUUUUAUCUUGAAUUUGUAAUUCCUAUUAGCACUGCUUGAGAGCCUUUGGAACACCAUCCUUCCUUUGUCAUUCUUUGAAUGUUGAUAGAUGAACAAACAAAUUUCUGUAAAGACUAGAAGCUUUAUGUGGACAUGAUAUGAGUUUUUCCUCCAUGCUGUUCGCUUAUGUAGCUUCUUCUAUGUUCGCCACUUGUAUAUUCACGUGUGAACAAAACUUAUUGAUUUUUAAUACUUAUAUGGCUUUGUUUAACUCUAGCGAAUAGACCAUCUGUGAACCCACACAAAUAGUUGUAUUUCGUUUGCUUCUUGCCUUGUUCAUUUCCAUGUGUAGGAAUAAAGAUGAUUAACCAUCACCCAUUUAUUCGAAUGAGUUGAUGCCAUUAGAGUAGAGAUUUCAAAUUCUUACUCAUUUCUAGGCACACAAUUGAAUAGUUAGUCUUUGUUCGUUCCCCUCAUUAAAAUAAGCAAGCCCCUUUUUUUUGAUUCUGUUCUCAACUGGUAUGCGUAUGUAGGCCUUGCGCAAACAGGUUCCUAAGUAACUCCACAUUUCCUUAUGCAAAUAGGUCUUCAUAACCCAUAUGAUUCGUUGUUUGUUCGCCCAAUCAUUGAACGAUUCGAAUAGAGUAAUGCAAAGGAACAGGACCCUAUGAUUCACAGCCUUUACCUUUAAUUCGAACCAUUUAUAGUAUAGGCGGACGAAUAAGCUUUUCCUCCAAAGUUAUAGGUGAAUAGGUUGCAUCUUUGAAUAUGCUAACAACCCUACCUAAGUCGUCUCGGUACAAUCCACCUUUUAUGAAUAAAAAUGAGCAGGUACUCCUCUUGCCAAUGAGUGCAUGCACACACUUAGCAAUUACUACUCUACUACUUGAACAGACAUCACACGUCUUUUCCUUAAGUUGAAUUUGUUAGUGUCUUGUAAACAGAAUGUUUGAAUCAACCCAUAAAUGAACAGGUUGCUUGAACUAACCCAUUAAACGAACAAGAAGCUUGAACUAAUCCCUAAACAAACAGGUUGCUUGAACUCCUUUUAUGAGGAAGUUCCCUUAUUCUUCCCAAGUAUAGAUCCUUUUUUAAGCAAUCUCAUUUCUAUGUUCUAAUAUUUUUUUUCGGUUUUGUUCGCCCUAGUUGUACACUUUAGGCGAACAAGCCUCAUAUUGUGUAUAUGCGAACAAAAUAUUACUCUUUCCUUUUCAGGUACUUGGGUUUGCUUAGUCCUCGAGGAGUCUGGUUUUUUUUACAAUCCGGUUAGGCCUCGUUCUUUGAAGUGUAUAGGGAUCUAUUCAUGCCUCCCAAGAAAUCAAGAGCAUUAAGGAAGAGGAAAAAGAUCGACUAUUUCAAAAAUAUUUCAAGAGCAUUUAGCUCGAAUGGUUUUGUAACACCGAGAUCCAUCUAUUCUACAAGUGACUUGUCCCAUUUAAUAGAUAGGUAUGGACUUAUUGGAGAACUCGGGCUUAGAGUCCCUAUUAAUGAUGAGCAAGCAGGCUCCCCACCAGAUGGGUAUACUGCUUGGAGUCCCAUGCAUUGCCAAGCAAGGGCCUUCCUUCCACUUCAUUCGUACUUUGUGGAAAUAUGUGACUAUUUUGGAAUAGCCCCAUUCCAACUGACGCCGAACAAUUAUAGACUAUUGGUACUGCUACGUAUUCUGUAUAGAGUGUUAGAAUGACCUCCCCCUGAUGCUUUGGAGGUUCACUACUUGUUCAAUAUCAAGUCUUAUGAAGGAUUAUACCACUUCUGUAGUUAUUCUGGUGGGGAAGUCCUUAGGAGUGGUGUUUCCAACCCUGGUUGCUACUUUAGUCAAUAAUUUUUUACCAAUGCCCUCCAGUAUGAGCAUAAGUCAAUCUGUGAUAUUGAAUGCUCGAGCUUUGUUCGGUGACCCUAAGGUUGUAGGUGCAAGGGCUAACAAGAGGAGGAAACAAUUAGCAAACAAGAAUAAGGGGACCCUUUUAGAGUCUUCUUCUGUUCGUUCAGGCCAGAGUCGUCCUCUAGCUGGGGUUACACCGCCAGCCCCUGCAGCGACUGAUAGUGUGGUUCCCACGACUCGAUCCUUAUCUCCUAUAUUAUCUUCUCGUGUUCAAAUGGUGGUACCUAGAUUUGAAGAGGUCAUCUAGAGUGACCAGAUACAUGCAUAAUGGUCUUUAUCCGGAGUUUGCGUCCCUAGCGAGAUCAUUUGCCAUUCUAUUGCCAACACUUUUCAGACAAUGAUCACCUUGACCAACCUAUCUGAAGCAGUUGAAGAAGGAUAAUGAAGAUACAUGUCGUGCCCUCAUAUCUGAGAUAGAAAUUGUUCAUGGUGAGUGGAAUAAUUGUAAGACUGUGCUCAAGCAACUCAAAAGUUCUUCUUGUACCAAGAUCAAUCAACUAAAGGAUGAGAUUGACCGUCUUCAGAAGUCUCAUGCUGUUGAGGUUGAGCAACUUAAAGCUGAUGCGGAAGCUGAUCGCCUUCAAACCCUUGAAGAAGAAGGAUAUACCUUAAAUAACAUGUUUUUUUAGGUCUGGAAACACAACCACAGUAUUGAUUUAACAUUUCUGAAUGGCAGAGAGAAGUCCCUACUAGGGCUUCCGAAUAGAGACUUGCUGAUGAAGAAAACUCUUUUGUUCGUACCUCCUUAGCACAAGUGGGGAAUGGUGAUAUUUUAAGGCCUGAAGAUCUCGCUACCAGCACUUCUGCUGACCCUUUAGCUACCUUGGGAGACCAAAUCCUUGAGCCAGAGUCCUGAUAGCUUAGUCUCUAACGCGCCUUAUGUUGGAGUAUUUUUGUACUUGCAUACUCUUGACUCUUUGUUUUCUUUUGUAGUCUGUUCUUGCAUGCCAAUGAACAAACCAUUUUUCCUUUUGUUCUUAGUGUGAACAUACUAGUUGCCUUUAGUGCAUGAUACGAACAGAAUAGUUUGCCUUUUGUGAAUGGUACAAACAACUUGUGUAUUUUUAUA